AACAGAAGGCCUUGAGGCAAUUGUUAGUUGCCAGGAGAGUGAAGGACAGAUUUCUCUAAGAAUGUAGUCCUCGGUAACUCAAACAUGCUCAAGCAGAACUUCACCCAAUCGAGAGUCUUUCUGUGGCACAAAAUGAUUUUGGAGGGUAUAUUUUGAAUUUCAGGAAAGUACCAACUUAAAAGAAGUUGUGGUAGUAUGAAAUGCAAGGCACGACUGCUCUCCAGGAGAACUUUGUGAAGACCAAAGGCUAAGGAGGAGACAGAGGGAGAGACCGCCAGAGAUGUUUGGAAGAUAAAGUAUCUACAUACACCAUGAGCUCGAUGUGCCAAGAAGCAUGACACUGGUGUCCAGAACAUUUGUUAACAGCUAUGUGCAGAAGAGGCAUAUCUGUUGGUAAGGGUAAUAUAACAGACUUAUUAUAUCAUCCAGUUUUUAGCUAUUUAAAAUCUGUCGUAUUUGUUUAUUCAUAUUCUUCAUGAUUUGUGGUAAAACAAUUAAAAUUUAAUUCACUUUGUUACUUUUGACCACUCUUAUAACUAGCUUGAGCUUCGAACUUGACCUUGAGUUGACUGGGGAACCUCAACUGAGAAAUUAUACAGAUAUUUCUGAUCUUUGUCCACAUUUAUGAGGUAUUUUCUUAAUUGCUAAUUGAUGUAGGAAGGCAAAGCCCACUGUGGGCAGUGCCAGACCUAGGCAGGCAUAUCAGCACUGUAUAAGAAAGGUAACACUGCAUGCCACACAGGGAAAACUUAUAACAUUUAUCUAUUAAUUAAUUUCUGCUUCAAGCUCCUGAUUUGGACUUUUUGCCUUGAUUUCCAUUGAUGAUGGACUACAACGUAUAAUCUAAAAUAUACCCUUUUUCUCCCUAAUUUGUUUUUGGCAAUGGUAUUUAUCACAGGGGAAGAGACAUAAAAAACAAAAACAUACUUAUCCAAUUAUUUUCUUCCCUUGUGAGUUUUGGUAUUUUGUUUAUUUCUUCUACAUGUAGAUUUUGUUAUGCUACUGGGAUUUUAUAUUAAUAAUGAUAAUAAAUGUGUUGAAAGCAGCACAGAUAAGAAGAGAUAUUGUGUCAGAUAUGUUUCUAUUAUACUCCCUGAUAAUUAAGGACUAAUUUAAAUUCUUUUUAUAUGUAUUUUUAUAUCUUCAAGGAUUAUUUAAUGAUUCCGUAAUUCUUGUAAGUUUUUCCUCUGUAUAAUAGACUGUAUCCAUCAUACUAACACUUGAAUAUGUUUACUUAUUUAAUAUUCAAAAUUCCUUUCAGUAACAGUGUAAUAAAAUAAUCUCAGUUACAUUCACAAUUAUAUAAAACAUAGACCCAUUUAGUCUGUGCCAUGAUUUCUGUAAAAGUAAAACAGAUAAGUUACCCCAUGUAAGAUGGACUGAACCAUCUGCACUUUGGUCAUCCUUCUUCUUGAGCUUCAUGAGGUCUGUGGAUUGUAUUUUGGGUAAUCCAAACUUUUGGACUAAUAUUCACUUAAAAAUGAGUGCAUAACAUGUGUGGGGUUUUUUGUUUGUUUGGUUGUUUUUUUUUGUGAUUGGGUUACCUCACUCAGGAUGAAAUUUUCUAGUUUCAUCCAGUUGCCUAUGCAUUUCAUGAAGUCAUUGUUUUAACAGCUGAAUAAAUGAACCACAUUUACUAUAUCCAUUCCUCUGUUGAAGGGCAUCUGGGUUCUUUCUAGCUUCUGGCUACUAUAAGUAAGGUUGCUAUGAACUUAGUGGAGCAUGUGUCCCUGUUAUAUGUUGGAGCACCUUCAGGGUAUAUACCCAGAGUAGUGUAGCUGGGUCUAAUUUUCUGAGGAACUUCCAGACUAAUUUCCAGAGUGGUUGCACCAGCUUGUAACCUCAUCAACAAUGGAGGAGUAUUCCUCUUUUUCCACACUCUUGUCAGCAUCUGUUGUUACCUGAGUUUUUGAUCUUAGCCAUUCUGACUGGUGUGAGGUAGAAUCUUAGGGUUGUUUUGACUUGCAUUUCCCCUGAUGACAAAUUUAUUAGAUGAAGGAUUGGGAAAGAUCUUUUCCCAAUCUGUUGGUUGCUGUUUUGUCCUAAUGACUGUGUCCUUUGUCUUACAGAAGCUUUGAAAUUUUAUGAAGUCCCAUUUUGAUUCUUGAUCAUAAGCCAUUGGUGUUUUGUUCAGAAAAUUUUCCCCAGUGCCCAGGUGUUCAAGACUCUUCCCCACUUUUUCUUCUAUUAGUUUGAGUGUACCUGGUUUUAUGUGGAGGUCCUUAAUACAUGUGCACUUGAACUGUUUACAGAACGAUAAGUACAGAUCGAUUUGCAUUCUUCUACAUGCUGUCCUCCAAUUGAACCAGCACCAUUUGUUGAAAAUGCUACUUUUUAUUCCUGACUUGAUUGUUUUAGAUCCCUUGUCAAAGAUCAUGUGACCAUAGGUGUGUGGGUUCAUUUCUGGGUCUUCAAUUUUGUUCCAUUAAUCUACCUGCCUGUCUCUAUAUCAAUGCCAUACAGUCUUUAUCACUUGCUCUGUAAUAUUACUUGAGAUCAGGGAUGGUGAUUUCCCCAGAAGUUCUUCUAUUGUUGAGGAUAAUUUUAGUUAUCCUGGGUUUUUUGUUAUUCCAAAUGAAUUUGCAAAUUGCUCUUUCUAACUAUAUGAAGAAUUGAGUUGGAAUUUUGAUGGGGAUUGCAUUGAAUCUCUAGAUUUCUUUUGGCAAGAUGUCCAUGUUUACAAUAUUAAUUCCGGUAAUCCAUGAACAUGGGAAAUCUUUUCAUCUUUUGAGAUCUUCCUCAAAUUUUUCUUCAGAGACUUUAAGUUCUUGUCAUAGAGAUCUUUCACUUGCUUGAUUAGAGGCACACCCAGGUAUUUUAUAUUAUUUUUGACUAUUGCGAAGGGUGUCAUUUCUCUAAUUUUUUUCUCAGCCUGUUUAUCCUUUGAAUAGAGACAGGCUACUGAUUUGUUUGAGUUAAUUUUAUAUCUAACCACUUUGCUGGGUUUGUUUAUCAGAUGUAGGAGUUCUCUGGUGGAAUUUUUGGGGUCACUUAAGUAUACUAUCAUAUCAUCUGCAAAUAAUAUUUUAACCUCUUCCUUUCCAAUCUGUAUCUCUUUGAACUCUAAAAAUAUUCACAGGAGGAAAUAAAGAAACAAAGUUUGGAGCAGAGACUGAAGGGAAGGCCAUCCAGAGACUGCUCCACCUGGUGAUCCAGCUCAUAUAUAUAUAUAUAUAUAUAUAUAUAUAUAUAUAUAUAUAUAUAUAUCCUAGACUAUAUUGCUGAUGCCAAGAAGUGCAUGCUGACAGGAGACUGAUAUAGUUGUCUCCCGAGAGGCUCUGCCAAAUACAAAUACAGAGGCUAAUGCUAGCAGCCAACCACUGAACUGGGAAAGGGGUUCCCAUUGGAGGAGUUAGAGAAAGGAUUGAAGGAGCUGAUUGGUUUUGCAACCUCAUAAGAACAACAAUACCAACCAACCAGAGCUCCCAGGGACUAAAUCACCACCCAAAGAGUACACAUGGACAGACCCAUUGCUCCAGCUGCAUAUGUAGCAGAGGAUGACCUUUUUGGGUACCAGUGAGAGGAGAAGCUCUUGGUCCGGCCAAGGCUGGACACCCCCGCAAUGUAGGAGAAUGUCAGGGUGGGGAGGUGGGAAGGUGUGGGUGGAUGUAUGAGGGAGCACCUUCAUAGAAGGGGGAAGAGGAUGUGAUAGGUGGGGGGUUAUGCAUGAGAAACCAGGAAAGGGGAUAACACUUGAAAUGUAAAUUAAAAUUUUUUCCCAUUUAAAAAGAAAAGACUGAUAAUUUACAUAAUCUGCCUUUAGGUGUCAAUAGCUAAAGCCCAUAUACUUUGUACUGUAAUUGUGUUCUGUAGUCCUAGAUUUCUCCAUACACAGUUUUAUUAUGUGAUAGUCUUUCCACAAUCAGGAUUAACUCCUUUAAAACAUGCGAUACAAACACGUUCCUGUAUGCCAGAGACAAGUUGACCUAAAUUCUGGCAAGCCAUUUAUAGAAAAAGUAUAGGCAAUCAUUGAUCUCCUGUGGAACAGAAGCCUCCAAGGAAUGUUGGAAGUAGUCUAAUGGUAAAGACAUAGGAUGUACACACUUCCUCUCCAGUUCUUAGGGCAGAUAUAUAGAGAGCCUCAAAGAAACAUCCAGUAUAGCCGCACUGCAUUUUAAUAUGAUUAGCUUUGUAAUUUACCCUUAUUCCAAACUGAAAAAACUAUACCAGCAGAUCUCACAUCAGCUUAUACAUCUGAUUCUAAAUGUAUGUGGUUUCUAUGUAAAAGCUAGAGGACGGAAGCUGACAGCUUCAUGUUAACUACUAUAUGGUAUCCAUUACUUGAACGGCAGUAUAUCACCCUAAUCAAAAGGGGCUGUGGAAACCAGUGUGCUUGACAAAAGAAAAAACAGACUUUUCUAUUAAAAUAAAUUAUUUUCAUUUUUUCAAGAUGACCCAUUGCCAUAACUCAAAUAUUACACAAUUUUUAAAAAAAAGCACAGACCAAAGUGUUUAUUUUUUUAACUGUAAAAAUCUGUUAAUGUAGUUUUAUUUUACUGUCUCAUUAAUUUCAUGCAUUUGCUUUGUAGUGGUUUCACCACAUAAACCUUUUCCUUCUACGCCUAUCUAUGUCGUGCCCUUAAAUUUUUAUGAAUUGCUUACUUCUGUAUUUGGAUGUAAGGCAUUUUCCUUAUCAUAGAAUCUUUAUUUAUAAAUAAUUAAAAUAUAUGCUCUCAUCCUUUUGGAUUCUAGAAUUAUAAUAUUAAGGAGGCACAUGGCCAUAGUCUCUCUUGAGGGCAUGAGGAAAUGAGCUCCUAGCUUCUGAUGUUUCAUUAGUUUUCCCAGUGUAACUUCAAUCUUGGUUUCCUAGUAGUUCACACCUGAUAAUAUAGGUAAGAUUAGAAGCAGAGGCAGGAGGAUUACAAGUUCAAGAUCUACCUGGGAUACAUAAAUUCAAGGUCAAUACAGAAACCUCAGUGACAAACUUAAAUAGAAAUAUAUGACAUUUCUUUAGAAAUACAAAUCAAUAAUAGAAAAUAAAUAUGUAGCUUAGUUAUCGCAUAUUCCAUUUAUUUUAUUCCUUAAAAAUCCAUCUUGUCAAGUAAUAAAAGUCUCAAUUCAGAUAAUAUAAAUUAUGGACUUUAACUAUCAUUCUAUGAAUGUAUUGUCAAAUGGAUCAUAAAAUUUUAUUAUCAUAAAUUACAAAUAGAUUGCCGAAAGCAAUCUACAGAUUCAAUGCAAUCCCCAUCAAAAUUCCUACUCAAUUAUUUAUACAGAUAGAAAGAGUAAUUUGCAAAUUCAUUUGGAAUAAUAGAAAAUCCAGGAUAGCAAAAACUAUACUCAACAAUAAAAGAACUUCUGAGGGAAUCACCAUCCCUGACUACAAGCAAUAUUACAGAGCAAUAGUCAUAAAAACUGUAUGGUAUUGGUACCGAGACAGGCAGAUAGACAGUGGAACAGAAUUGAAGACCCAGAAAUGAACCCACACACCUUGAUCUUUGAAAAAUGAGCUAAAACCAUCCAAUGGAAGAAAGAUAUCAUUUUCAACAAAUGGUGCUGGUUCAACUGGAGGUUAGCAUGUAGAAGAAUGCAAAUUGAUCCAUGCUUAUCACCCUGUUCAAUUAGAUCAAGGACCUCCACAUCAAACCAGAUACACUCAAACUAGUAGAAGAAAAAGUGGGGAAGAGUCUCAAACAUAUGGACACUGGGGAAAAUUUCCUGAACAAAACACCAAUGGCUCAUGCUCUAAGAUCAAGAACUGACAAAUGGGACCUCAUAAAACUACAAAGCUUUUGUAAAGCAAAAGACACUGUGGUUAGGACAAAACAGCAACCAACAGAUUGGGAAAACAUCUUUACCAAUUCUAUAUCUGAUAAAGAACUAAUAUCCAAAAUAUACAAAGAACUCAAGAAGGUAGACUCUAGAGAGCCAAAUAACCCUAUUAAAUAUGGGGUACAGAGCUAAUCAAAAUAUUCUCAGGUGAGGAUUAUCAACCGGCCUAAAAGCACCUAAAGAAAUGUUCAACAUCCAUUGCAAGAAACACAAAUCAAAACAACCCUGAGAUUCCACCUCACACCAGUCAGAAUGGCUAAGAUAAAAAAAAAAAAAAAAACCCUCAGGUGACAGCAGAUGCCGAAGAGGAUGUGGAGAAAGAGGAACACUCCUCCAUUGUUGGUGGGAUUGCAGACUGGUACAACUGUUCUAGAAAUCAGUCUGGAUGUUCCUCAGAAAAUUGGACUACCUGAGGUCCCAGCUAUACCUCUCUUGGGCAUAUACCCAAAAGAUGCUCCAACAUACAACAAAGACACAUGCUCCACUAUGUUCAUAGCAGCCUUAUUUAUAAUAGCCAGAAGCUGGAAAGAACCCAGAUGUCCUUCAACAAAGGAAUGGAUACAGAAAAUGUGGUACAUCUACACAAUGGAGUACUGCUCAGCUAUCAAAAACAAUGACUUCAUGAAAUUCACAGGUAAAUGGAAUGAACUAGAAAAUAUCAUCCUGAGUGAGGUUACUCAAUCACAGAAAAACACACUUGGAAUGCACUCAUUGAUAAGUGAAUAUUAGCCAAAAAGCUCAAAAUACCAAGAUGCAAUCCACAGACCACAGGAAGCUCAAGAAGAAGGAUGACCAAAAUGCGGAUGCUCUCACUCCUUCUUAAAAGGGGGAAAAUAUCCAUUGGAGGUGAUACGGAAGCAAAAUUUAGAGCAGCGACUCAAGGAAUGGCCAUUCAGAGCCUGCCCCACAUGUGCCCCAUAUAUAUACAGCCACCAAAACUAGAUAAGAUUGAUGAAGCUAGAAAAUGCAUACUGGAAGGGACUGGAUAUAGAUCUCUCCUGAGAGACACAUCCAGAGCAUGUCCAAUACAGAGGUCUAUGCUAGCAGCAAACCACUGAACUGAGAACAGAACCCCAUUGGGAGGAAUUAGAGGAAGUAUUGAAAGAGUUGAAGGAGCUUGCAACCCCAUAAAAACAACAAUGUCAACCAAUCAGAGCUUCCAGGGACUAAACCACUAGCGAAAGAAUAUAUACAUGGACUGACCCAGGGCUCCAACUGCAUAUGGAGCAGAGAAUAACCUUGUUGGGGCACCAGAGGAAGGGGAAGCCCUUGGUCCUGCCAAGGAUGGACCCCCAGUGCAGGGUAAUAUGGAGAGGGGGGAUGAU